GAAGACUGUAGAAGUGAAAUUUUUCACCGUCCACCUGUAGAGGGGUCCUCAACCGAGCGAAAGGAUUGCUGCCUAAAGCCAGAGAGAGACAUUAACACAUUAAGAAAAACAUUUUGGCCGUGCUCUGUGAAGAGGAGAUGUCACAUGUGUGUCGUUUUUGCGGAGAGGCCCUCAAAACCACGUGGGGCUGAAACGGCACGAGGACAGGCACCGCGGCUUGUCAAAGUAUUCUUGCUGUGAGAAGCAAUUCAGUACAAAAGAGGACCUCACCAGACACAUGUGCAGUGCGCAUGGGGACACGAGACAACAUGUUUGUCCAACCUGUUGUGCAACUUUUGCCACAAAGACAGAUCUAACAAACCGAAGAAGAGACGACUCAUCCGUAAGAUUCCGGUGUGAUGUGUGUGGGGCUGAAUUGAAAGAAAGGGUGGACUAACAGGCGCACAUGCAUAUUCAUAGUGAUUUAAAAAUGCAAACAUGUGACAAAUGUCGGAAGUCUUACAGACACAGAAGCAGUCUGUCAAAACACAAGGCAAAGAAACAUGCCAAUUAAAUGUGCAUAUUGUUAAGAUAAUAAUAAUGAUGCACGCUAUUUGUGUUAUUAAGUUCUGUUAUAUUUUCAAUGUUUAUUUUCAUUGUUACCGGUAGUACAUUUUACUGUUAAUAUGAUCUCACCUUGUUUUGUUUCGUUUUCCACCCGAAAGCGGAGGUAUAUUGUUUUUCCCUCCAAAUGCGGAGCGACACUAUUUUAGAGUUGUCCGUCCGUCCUUCCGUCACACUUUUUUCUUUAUCUCAAUUUGAUUUUUGGUAUAACAUUUUGAUGGUAUUAACAGUAAUUGUUUGGUGAUACUAGAAAUUUACAAUAGUACGAAUAUACGAAUGUAUUAACCCCAAUAUCUCAAUGCAUUCAUUCAAAUUUUCCCGUGUCACUUUUUGAAACGCUUUGGCAGAUUAUUCAUUUGCUUAAAUUUACAUAGAUGUUCGGACGCAUUGUACUUUAGUAUUUUUAUGCAACGCAAUUAUUCCUUCAAUCCUAUAACUCUAAACUUUAAAAGUAAUAUAUUUACUUGAGAAACUUUGUAAAUACGUAAAUGGUGCUUGGUUAUAUAACAUUUCAAUGAUUUUUGCAGGUUGAACAAGAAAGUUUUAACUCGAGAGCGAAGUUUAGUUGUUUGUGUUUUUUUCUUUUUGAAAUGUUGUUGCAAUAUGUAUGUGUUAUUGGUAAUUUUUUCAUUCUGAUUAUCUGUGAUUUCUUUCUACAUUUUAUUUCAAAAUUAUGUUGUGAUAUUCAACUAAUAAUAUGUGUGUUUUCAUGUUAAGAUAUAUUUAUUGACUAUUCAUUUUUAUAAUGUUCAUAAUUAAUAAAGUUUUUUGCUUUCAGAUUUAAUGUUACUUUGUGUUUUUUCAAUACGGUUUAUUCGGAGAGCUUCACUCAAGUAGUGUGUGUGCGCCUGUGCGUGUG